AAAUAAGAAGCAAACUGCAAUUUAAUUUCGACUUAAAACUAAGGUAGAUAAACUACCCUUAUUUA
rnacentral:tRNA from 1 species